CUCUAGCUUUAAAUAUUGUAUCUAUAAUGGGUCUUUUUAUGUUAAAAUUUAAAAUAAAAUAAAUAAUUUUCAUAAAAAGAUUAAAAGUAGCUUUUUUGUUUUUACAAGGGUUCCAUUAAUUCAUGCAUUAUGGUAUUAAAACAGAACAAUAACUAAAUAUAUGAAUAAAUGAAUGAAUAUAAACUCGUGCACUCAGUAAUGCGGUUCACCCUAAAUGCGUGCUGGAUGGUGAUGUAGUUUGGAAAUCCCCUCCUCACACACCUUUUUUGGAUUCAGGAAGUCUGCGACAACCAUUAUCUGUAACCAAAACGGAUAAUCCAGCUUUUACACCCACUUUACACCGGCUGUGCAGAGCUGAGAGUUCUCCUCUUUGUAGCAUUUUGUGGUACUUUUAUGCACACAACCCGACACAACAUUAUCAGUUGUGCGUUGUUUUCUAACAGUACUUUGACUUAACGUUUUCCACAGAACUACCUCUGCCCUGAUCUAACACCAAGAGCAUACCAGAAGCCGGCUUUAAGAUGGAUCCACUCUGUGGGUACAGUUAUUUGCAAUGAAGAUAUUCACCUCUGCACUCGUGUUGUGGGUUAUUAGUUUAACCACCAUUUUGUAACAGCAAAAAUACACAAGGAAACAGCCACUAAAGCAGACACACAUACACACACCCACACACAUACCCCACACCCACAGACAGUUACUCUGGUUAUGUAAGAAUAGAUUCAGUUGCUGUGUCACUCAGAAGGCCAGACCACAGCAACGGAGGGAGAGAGAGGAAAAUAAAGAGAGGCAACUGAUUCAUGUACUGAUCUGAAAAAAUGGGGGCGAGGGGAGUGUAAGGGGGAAAAGGCAUAACGAAGGUCUUACCUAACCUGAUGACCACAGGGAGGAAACCACACUGAAUUACAGUUUUACCCCUGAACACACACACACACACACACACACACACACACACACACACACGCUUGCUACAGUAACGUACUGUAUCGGCGAGGCAUUGUGAUAAGACGUGUUUUCUUUACAGUUUGUGUUUGUAACUGUCACUCAGAUCUAAAAGCCACAAACAACAACAAAGCAUCAGAAAAUGCACUUUUUUCAUUUAUGUUCUAAACUUUCUUUUGUGUGUUUUCAUUUCACAUUUGUUUCCAUUAAUUUUCCAAUCAGGAUUUUACAUGUUUCUGUUCGGUGAUAGCAUUAGUCUAGUUGAUUUUUUGAUUACUUGUUUAUUUUACAGUUAAAUAAUUUUUUUCGUAUCUAUGUUUUAAUUUUUAAUGACCUUGAACUAUCCUUUCUAAAUCUCACAUUUCACUUAUCAAUGGAAAAAGCUUCCAUACAUUUUUAUUUGAUUUUGGCUGCCUGGGAUUAUUUUGAUGUUUUGUUUUUUGUUUGUUUUUAAACACAGAGUGUGUUUAAGUAAAAAGAUUCCUCAAAUGUGGCGCACAGCAGGAAACAAUCUACUGCAGACAUCUUCACAGUUCUGGGUACUUAUCACUGCUGAUGGUAACAGCACGGUCCUACACAAAUGGAGCUAUUAUGCUCGCUGUGUUGUCUGUGUUGCAUAUGAACAGUGACAUCACCACAUCUCCACCCCUUUUACACCAGCAUUAAGAGUGCAAGUACUUGCUGCAGUAUUCUCCUGAACAACAGGUGUCACCACUCAGACAUCAGUGCUUUUACAAAUGGAGGCAAAAAAUAUCAAGUCUUUUUUUGUCUGCGUCUCAGUUGUGACAUUGUUGGUCCUUCAGCUUAGCUCCUCCCACACAUAAGAAGUGACUGUAGUGGACAGUUUGUUUUGUGUAAUGAUUUCCGUCUGUGCUUCUCAUUAUUUUUAGGGAUUUCUUCCCCUUUGUGGUGAACUCCCUGUCCUGUUCAAGUCAAGUUUUUAAUCAAUCAGCAUUUUAUCUGCCAUGUUGCCAACAGCCUCAGGCGACAGAGCUGCCUGGAAAGAGUCUACGGGAGGCAACACGUGUGAUGAUUACUAGUUAGCGAUUACUGCAUAUAGAAAAAAGGUUCCAAACAGGCUAAUGUGAGCUCCAACCGCAGAGGACAUUUGCAUUUUCAUGCAGCAAAUAGCACAAUCGUCAAGCUCAUUCAGGCCGACAACGACACUAACGCUGCCUGAAAUGUGCCUGCAGUCUUCACAGUGCUGCAGUGCAGCAGCACAGCAACAGUAUCUGGGAAGAUGAAAACUCACCACUGACCCAGAUGUAAGGACGACUUCUUAUCUCUCAUAAAUGUGAGGCCACAGACGUAACAGUAACUGACAGAGUACAUUUUGGCAGUUAAAACUGAUGAAAAGCUCAGUGAUGGUGGCAACAUUUGGUCCAAUCAGUUUCUUUUAUUUUGUUUUGUUCUUUCUAUUUUUUCCAGAAAAAUCUGAAAUGACUGAGCAGUAACACCUCUGGGAUAUCUUUGAACAACUUAAACUACUCACAAAACUGGGUGUGGUUCACAAGUGACUGGCUGUUUUGUUUAUCUGACACCUUCAAACUCAAUUUACACCUAUGGGUAUUUUGGAUUCAACAUAAAUGAAAUUUAGACCCAGAGACAGACGAAAAGGACAUAUGGGAGACAUCCAGACCCCCCACACAAAGGCCAUGAAAUGCAAGCUAAUGUGAGAUCGCUCAACUCAGUUUUACCUGAAUGUUCUUCUUAAGUAUAAAGGGAAUAUAGCACAUUUCAAGCAUACCAGUCAAGGAAUUUGCUUUAUGAGAUCAAAUCUAAACCAAAAAGGAAAAAUGUUAAGAAAAAAAAAUAAAUAAAUAAAAAUAAAAUAAUGAAAAGUACUAACAGGUCUUAUAGGCUUAAAUCAGGCUCAUAAACAAAUUCCAGGCUAUUUUUUUGUGAAGCUGGUGAAUGAGCCAUUAUUAAUGUUUUAUUGUGACUGAACAUUCACUCAUGGACAACCUGCUAAUGUGAAAGUAACUAUGAUUCACUCUGACAUUUUUUAAAAAUGUUGGGAUUUUUUAAUCUAUUGUCAACUUAGACCCAGAAUCCAUAUGAAUUUUUUAUUUUAAUGCAGUAGCUAAACAAUAAAUAAAAUGUGAAAUUAUCUAAUAAAUUGUAUCAUCAUUUCAGAAGAACUUGUGUAUUAAAAACUUAAAUAAACAGCAUUGCUCAUUUUAAGGCUGAUUGCCUCUGUUGGGGGGAAUACGGAUAUACUUUUUUCAUAUUUUCUCCUUAUGAGAAUAAGUUGUUUAUCAUUAACUCCUCAGCUGUACUGAUCCUAAACAAAAUG